rnacentral:rRNA from 1 species
UGGGUAACCUGCCUCAAAGAGGGGAAUAGCCUCCCGAAAGGGAGAUUAAUACCGCAUAAUAUGUUUAAGUCGCAUGACUUUAACAUCAAAGGAUUUCUUUUAGAAAUUCCACUUUGAGUUGGACCCGCGGCCUAUCAGCUUGUUGGUGAGGUAAUGGCUCACCAAGGCAACGAUGCGUAGCCGACCUGAGAGGGUGAUCGGCCACAUUGGAACUGAGACACGGUCCAGCUCCGUAGGACGG